UGACGAGUGGCGGACGGGUGAGUAAUGCUUGGGAAUCUGGCUUAUGGAGGGGGAUAACUGUGGGAAACUGCAGCUAAUACCGCGUAUUCUCUGAGGAGGAAAGGGUGGGACCUUAGGGCCACCUGCCAUAAGAUGAGCCCAAGUGGGAUUAGGUAGUUGGUGGGGUAAAGGCCUACCAAGCCUGCGAUCUCUAGCUGGUCUGAGAGAAUGACCAGCCACACUGGAACUGAGACACGGUCCAGACUCCUACGGGAGGCAGCAGUGGGGAAUAUUGCGCAAUGGGGGGAACCCUGACGCAGCCAUGCCGCGUGAAUGAAGAAGGCCUUCGGGUUGUAAAGUUCUUUCGGUAAUGAGGAAGGGAUGUUGUUAAAUAGAUAGCAUCAUUGACGUUAAUUACAGAAGAAGCACCGGCUAACUCCGUGCCAGCAGCCGCGGUAAUACGGAGGGUGCGAGCGUUAAUCGGAAUAACUGGGCGUAAAGGGCACGCAGGCGGACUUUUAAGUGAGAUGUGAAAUCCCCGAGCUUAACUUGGGAACUGCAUUUCAGACUGGGAGUCUAGAGUACUUUAGGGAGGGGUAGAAUUCCACGUGUAGCGGUGAAAUGCGUAGAGAUGUGGAGGAAUACCGAAGGCGAAGGCAGCCCCUUGGGAAUGUACUGACGCUCAUGUGCGAAAGCGUGGGGAGCAAACAGG
rnacentral:rRNA from 1 species